AUAUAAUCUCACACGUUUUGCAAUAACAGUAAAUGAGCUGACCCUGGGAUUAAAGGAAAAAUUGCCACCGACAGAUUCAAGGUUGAGGCCUGAUCAGAGGUGCUUGGAGAAUGGGGAGUAUGAGAUGGCAAAUGCUGAGAAGUUGAGACUGGAACAGAGACAACGCCAGGCGAGAAAGAUGCAGGAAAGUGGUUGGAAACCGCAGUGGUUUGUGAAAGAUAAAGGGAGCGAGACAUACCGGUACAUAGGAGGAUACUGGGAGGCCAGAGAAGACAGCAGAU